ensembl:snoRNA SNORD24 Small nucleolar RNA SNORD24
UGCUGCUGUGAUGACAUUAUUUGCUACUCUUGACCCAAUGGAUGACGAUAUUUUCAACCCACCAGUUGAUUAUCUGAGGCA